rnacentral:rRNA from 1 species
GAUGAACGCUAGCGGCAGGCCUAAUACAUGCAAGUCGAACGGUGUCUUCGGACAUAGUGGCGCACGGGUGCGUAACACGUAUGCAACCUACCUUACAUUGGGGGAUAGCCUUUCGAAAGGGAGAUUAAUACCGCAUAAGACAGUAGCUGGGCAUCCAGCAGCUGUUAAAGAUUUAUCGAUGUAAGCUGGGCAUGAGUCCAAUUAGCUAGUUGGUGAGGUAACGGCUUACCAAGGCAAUGAUUGGUAGGGGAACUGAGAGGUCAAUCCCCCACACUGGCACUGAGAUACGGGCCAGACUCCUACGGGAGGCAGCAGUAGGGAAUAUUGGGCAAUGGACGCAAGUCUGACCCAGCCAUGCCGCGUGCAGGAUGAAGGCGUUAUGCGUUGUAAACUGCUUUUAUACAGGAAGAAACGACUCUUGCGAGAGGCAUUGACGGUACUGUAUGAAUAAGCACCGGCUAACUCCGUGCCAGCCGCCGCGGUAACAC